rnacentral:rRNA from 1 species
AGCGGCGGACGGGUGAGUAACGCGUGGGUAACCUGCCCUGUACACACGGAUAACAUACCGAAAGGUAUGCUAAUACGAGAUAAUGUGCUUUUAUCGCAUGGUAGAAGUAUCAAAGCUUUUGCAGUACAGGAUGGACCCGCGUCUGAUUAGCUAGUUGGUAAGGUAACGGAUUACCAAGGCGACGAUCAGUAGCCGACCUGAGAGGGUGAUCGGCCACAUUGGAACUGAGACACGGUCCAAACUCCUACGGGAGGCAGCAGUGGGGAAUAUUGCACAAUGGGCGAAAGCCUGAUGCAGCAACGCCGCGUGAGCGAUGAAGGCCUUCGGGUCGUAAAGCUCUGUCCUCAAGGAAGAUAAUGACGGUACUUGAGGAGGAAGCCCCGGCUAACUACGUGCCAGCAGCCGCGGUAAUACGUAGGGGGCUAGCGUUAUCCGGAAUUACUGGGCGUAAAGGGUGCGUAGGUGGUUUCUUAAGUCAGAGGUGAAAGGCUACGGCUCAACCGUAGUAAGCCUUUGAAACUGGGAAACUUGAGUGCAGGAGAGGAGAGUGGAAUUCCUAGUGUAGCGGUGAAAUGCGUAGAUAUUAGGAGGAACACCAGUUGCGAAGGCGGCUCUCUGGACUGUAACUGACACUGAGGCACGAAAGCGUGGGGAGCAAACAAGAUUAGAUACCCUGGUAGUCCACGCCGUAAACGAUGAGUACUAGCUGU